GAUGCUCUUCCGAUCCCAAAUUACCAUCUGAUAUCCCAAGGUUAUUUUUGUUUUCCUUCUGAACUCUACGUAUCACUUUGGGGGUCGCUACACGAGCAGGACGAUUUUUUAAUUUUUUGAAUUCAGCAUUCCUCCUCCCCUCAUACAUAUCUAAAACUCUGCAAAUUGCCUCAUUAUGAAUUUUUUCUUUUUCGAAGUGGCUAUUAACCAUUAUCCGAACGCGCUCGCACACUUUUUCGUAGUAGUGGCAAAAUUUUUUUGCGAGUUCCUCUGAAUUUUUUGUCCUCAUUUUUGAACUAAUCGAGAUAUCGACUUCCGGUUUUCUGAUUUGGAUAGUCAAUCGCAUGGACUACAAAACUACCGCGUUCCAACUCAGUGACAAUUUUUCUUUCAUACAAAUAAAUAUACUUUUUCAAAUGUUUCUUUACUUUUGGACCGAAUCCUAGUGCAGCCAUCGAUUCUGACUGAAUGUUAACUUGUGAUUUCCACUUGC